rnacentral:rRNA from 1 species
UUCCGGUUGAUCCUGCCGGCGGCCACCGCUAUAGGAAUUCGAUUAAGACAUGCGAGUCGAGAGUCUUCGGGACUCGGCGGACUGCUCAGUAACACGUGGAUAACAUGCCCUUAGGAGGGGGAUAACCUCGAGAAAUUGAGAAUAAUACCCCAUAGGUCAUGAAUGCUGGAAUGCAUCAUGGCUCAAAGCUCCGGCGCCUAAGGAUUGGUCUGCGGCCUAUCAGGUAGUAGUGGGUGUAACGGACCCACUAGCCAAUGACGGGUAUGGGCCUUGAGAGAGGGAGCCCAGAGAUGGACUCUGAGACACGAGUCCAGGCCCUACGGGGCGCAGCAGUCGCGAAACCUUCACACUGAGGGAAACCUUGAUGAGGGAAUUCCUAGUGCCUGCAUUUUGUGUAGGCUUUUCUCCAGUGUAGAUAGCUGGAGGAAUAAGGGCCGGGUAAGACGGGUGCCAGCCGCCGCGGUAAUACCCGCGGCCCGAGUGGUGGUCGAUAUUAUUGAGUCUAAAACGUCCGUAGCCUGUUCAGUAAAUCUUUGGGUAAAUCGGCCAGCUUAACUGACCGAAUUCCGGAGAGACUGCUGAACUUGGGACCGGGAGAGGCCAGAGGUACUUCUGGGGUAGGGGUAAAAUCCUGUAAUCCUAGAAGGACCACCGGUGGCGAAGGCGUCUGGCUAGAACGGAUCCGACGGUGAGGGACGAAGCCCUGGGGCGCAAACGGGAUUAGAUACCCCGGUAGUCCAGGGUGUAAACGCUGCAGGCUUGGUGUUGGGGGUCCUUCGAGGGCGCCCAGUGCCGGAGAGAAGUUGUUAAGCCUGCUACUUGGGGAGUACGUCCGCAAGGAUGAAACUUAAAGGAAUUGGC